ensembl:lncRNA
GAAAAUGUUUGUCAACCCCUGUUGUGGAUGAAGCCCGUAAUAAAGGUCAAGAUUUUACAUUUCCUAAGGAAUAGAUAAGCCUGGGUGUGGUCCCCUUUUUGAUCUCCCCAAAUAACUGCCCAGGUGUCACACUGCACACUUGACAUGCAGCUGGUAUCCAGCUGCAUCCCCUCAGCUAUAGCGCAGAUCAGAAACGGGGUGCCUGGGCUGGGCACGUCUUCGGAGGCUGCAGGCAGGCUGCGUCUGAAACCCUCCUGGAGCUGAGUACCCCGUCCUGCCUGCCUCACGUCCUUUGCUGGCUGGGGGUCAGAGGCACAGCUCCCCCCUGCAGGGGCCGUCCGGACAACCUGACAACCCGCUUCAACUAACGUCAGAAGUGCAAAGGAGCGAGAAGCCAAAGCCAUGGGCGUUUACACCCUCGCUUGCCGAGCAACAGCUCAUAUUGGAGUCUCUAAUUCACAGACCGAACCUCAGGCAGUGUCAGGACAGCAAGGGUCCCUGCAGCCUCCUGAGUGACCUGCAGGUUUCCCGUCCCUGCAGACACUGACCAUGGUGUCCACUCCACAGUGGAGUCUUCCUGCAUUUUUGCUUAAAUAAGUAAAUGUAGAACUAUGAACGGGGCAGGCAGUGGUGGCAAUCGUGUGCAGUCCAGAUGCUAGGUGGGUGCUCGCUCCCUUAGACGCCGACUUGCGCAAAAGG